GGGGGGGCGGCCGCCGCUGAGCCGGUGCCGGUCGCUGCGGGUAGCCGCCUUCGACGUAGGCGCUCCUAUCCUGGGCCGAGGUUCAGCUUCGCCGGUACUCAUCUCCGAAGGAAGGAACAGAAGAAAACCUGCCAUACGGCCCCGUAGUUCAGGUACCGAUUUCAACGCGGCGCAGGCCACAGUAAGCCGUAAGUCGAGGAGAAAAGGAGCAGCGCUCCCGGGCGGCGCGCAUCAGCAGGACGGCUUGGCGGGAAGGGGCGGCAGCGGGCGGGCGCAGCGCCCCUUCCCCCUGAGGAAACGUACGCAGCACUGCCGCCGGUAGAGCCCGACAGGCUGAAGGAGGACUGGCGUCACAUUUAAUAUCGUGCUCGCUGGAAACUUUUACAGUCCGACAGCCAGAGUAAUAAUCAGGUGCAACUUCAGACGACUUCUAUAAAAUAACUUUAAUGACUUGGUUCAUGCCACUUUAAAAACAGUCAUUUUCAAGAAGAAAAAUCAGUAUGUUUCUGGUACUGACUUUGCUUUCCUAUUCUUAUUCCCAUCUUUGCUAAUAGUUUGGCAUCCCCAGUACAUCCAGACGUUUGCCUGGGUGGGUGUACUGAAAAGUAACCCCAAGUUCCUAACCUGCUUAUACAGUCUGCAGUUACUGCAGACCUUCCCCACCCACCUCCAUCUACUAAGAAAAAGUCUUUUUGUGAAAGCUUUCCAAAAUGCCAAAGAUGAUAUUAAGCCAAGUAUUCCUCAGAUCUGUAUGUAUGUGUAUAUAUAUAUAUAUAUAUGGUCUGUCUGGCUUGAAAUUCAAUCUGCAGUCACCCAGAUGGCAGAUGAAAAUCACUGGCAUAAGACAGCUAUUGUAGCCUAGAGAGCUGUAUAUGCUAUCACUAUUGGAAUCAAACAGCUCUUCUUGGUCUUUCCUGAGCAAAAUCUUCAUGGCAUCCAAAUGAGAUUUUUGCAGGCUGCACACAGAGUCCUUUUAAAGGAAGAUGUGACGUGAAUUCUCAAAACACAUCCCCAUCUCAAAACAGACAAUAAAAUGGGCAUCACAAAAAUCCAUGUUAUACAAUAAGACUGCAUUUCAGUUUUUCCUAUUACUUGGUAUAACAAGAUUCAGUAAAACAUGGAAGCAAAGUACCAAUGGCCAUCUUCCCCCAAGUCCUUGAAGAAUUUCUCUGCAUAUUCUACUGGUCUUCAGGUCUCUAAAGUUUCUUCAUUUGCACCACAGGUGUCUACAACACAGAUUAAACAACUUGUCACUGGGAAAGCACGGACUUUGGAGUUGGCUAUCCACUUGUCUGUUUCAGUAUUAUACUCAAGAAUGUGCCCUAAUCGACCAACACCCUGAAAACCGGCCAGGACAUAAACUAUGGAUCCCACAGCAGCACACUUCACUGUUACACCUUUCCAUGGCAUUGGAGACACCAUCUUCCAUUCAUUCAUCUUGAUAUCGUAAUAUUCUACAUUAUCAAGGCCACCUAAAAAGCAAUGAAAUAGAGAACUGCUUACUACAGUAUACUGUCUAGGAUGAACUUGAGUACAGAAUGCUACUUAAAACUUAGUCAUUUUCAGAGUUUACAUUAAAAUAUGUAACAGACAGAAUAUUUCAGAGGAAAGGCCACAAUUUUCUAAACUAGCAGUUACUCACUCUUUAAAUACAGAAACAGAAGGCAAGACUGAAAAUGAGAUGCACUCCUACAAGUUUCACAUUGUAAAGGUUCUAACGAGUUGCUCCACAAACACAACAGUGCCUGAUUUCUCAUGGAUUUUGGGUAGUAACCUAAAGUUAGGAAUCCACCUAAAAAUUAUCUCCAGUAAGGCCAUUUAAUUCUAGUUGGAUUAUCAGCAUACCUUUACCUAAGUAGGUCGCUUACUGAUGAAGGAUCUCCAUUAAACUUCAAAUAUGUUUAUAUCAUAAAAACCUAAGUCACUUUUCAAGGGCCGACAGUUUCAAAAGUUAUUAAGGAAAGUAUGUUAUGUGAAGUAUGUAAGAUUUUCUUCUUUAAGAAACAGGCUGGCAAUCACACUUCACAAUAUCUACAAAUAUCUUAUUAUUCUUAUUUAAAAAUAAAUGACUACGAGGCACAGGCAAGUUUUCCCUUCCAGUCCUGAAUUAUUAGAUCUGAGAGAUUAACUUCUAUAAUCACAGAUGAUAUUUCAUUCCAGACAUAAAUCUUUGCCAUUAUAUUAUAUUAAGAACAAUUAAUCAGUGAAGUUGCAGAAUGCAAACAGCAAAAGAAUAUUUUACUUAUUAGUUCAGCAGCACACGGUCAGCAAAUACACUAAAACCUUGCAAAGUGACAGCUCUGGCUGUAACUGUUUGAUCAAGUGCACAGAAAAAUCAUACAUACUGAUAUUUUUGAAUAGGAGUCAAUCAUACUGGAAUAGUCUUAGUAACUAAUUAAAAUACAAGCUAUAUUCUAGAACAGAAUUAAUGUGAAUUUAGAUAUUCUAGUUACCAUAAAUAGUAAUUAUUAAACCCCAUAGAUGAGAACUUUCAUUUUCAAAAGCGCUUCAGAAACCCUAUGUAAUUAAAAUUGAAAUUCAACUCUCCUGGGAAAUCAACUAUCAUUCUAGUUUUACAGAUAAAGAGACAGACCAUGACAGUAAGUCACAUUUCAUUAACUAGGGCAGUCAAGAAAAUUCUGUUUUUCACCUCUUGAAAAUAGCAGACUAGCUUUGAAUCUUCAGACUGUUUUGUUCAGUGGAAUGACAAAGUCUCUUGAAAUAUACAAUGAAAGACUUAAAGCAAAUAAACCAACUAAAAGAUU